ACACAGACUAACCUUGUCUCAAAACAAAACAAAACAAACAACAACAAAAAACAAAACAAGAUUAAAAAAGGAAGGACUUAUUUUUAAGAGAUGUACUGUGAAAUAAUACCAUUGAAAACAAACUCCGAUUUCAACUAGUGUAUAGGGUUUUGUUUUUAUGAAAAUGGUUCAUGAAUGAUAUUUAACUGUUUCAAGGUGACAUAUUUAAGGUAGGUAUCAUUUUAAAGUAUUGCCACUGACUGUGAAAUUAGCUGAUUGUCUGUAUUAGCUAGUUUGUGGAACUUAAUUUAUGCAUAUUUCUGUUUUCCCCAAAGUCUUUUUUCUUGUGUGUGAUAACAACAAAAGCCACAUACAUGUGAGCGAUAAGACCUGGUGACAGUUCACAUCUUCUGAGUGUGUUGAUAAAACCUGGGGAUGGUUCACAUCCUCUGAGUGUGGUGCCCAGUUCUUUUACCCGUCUGUUUUCCUUAUUUAUUACAAACAGCUUUAAGGUAUCAUACGUGUGUUUGUGUAUGGAUGUUUCUUGCAAUCAUUUAUGUUUGCACAUUACACAAGUAGGAUUAUUUUAUAUAGGUAUGUAUAUAGUCUUCAGUGACAUUUUUAUUCUUGUUUUGCUUUGAGCCAGAGUCUUCUGUUGUAGCUUUGGCAGGCCUGGAACUCCUAGAGCUCUGCCUGCCUGCCUCGUUCUUCUGAGUGCCUGGAUUAAUUUUCACCCUGUUGCCUUGUGUGUGCCCCUUCCACUAUCAUUGAACUUCCCAUCAAGACAAUAAAUAUAGGCUUUUGCUAUUUAAUAUUUUGAUUAAAAUUCUUAAUAGAAUUUCUUUUUAAUUUAUUGUAAUAGAAAACCUUAGUCAAUGAGGGCCUUUUUUUUUUUUUUUUUAAAUUUCAACUAUGGCCAUAGUUUAUAAUGGCUUUAGAUUUUGGGAGAUUUCAUAUUUAAGUGAUAAAUAUACUAGAUUACACAGUUUUAUCUGUUUUAACUUAUGACAAGUUUCAACAUGUGGAUCUUUCAGAAGUUGUAAAUUAUGAGUUUUCUAGGAAAUGGAGUAUGUUUGACUUUGGAUUUCAGAAAUAAUUUUACCAGACUGUUUCCCUGAAAGUUAUUGUUUUAUUUAUGCAACAUAUACUUUGUUUUAGAUUUUCAGAGUUCUCUGGCGAGUACCAUUUUGUUUUUAGUUAGUCUGUGAAUUUACAUUCAUUACUAAUGCCAUUGAAACUCUGUGAAACUUUCACACUUGAAAAAUAGUAAAAUGACACUAUUUAAAAUGUAAAAUGUCCAAUGCUGGAAAAUGUCCUAAUACUCUUACUGUUACUGUUAGCAAGUUACCAAGUUUAAACUAGAUUGUAUCAGUUUUUAAAAUAAAUUCUAGUGGCAUUUCAAAACCUAGAUAAAGAGGAGAAUUAAAAUAUUGAAGAGUUGUCAUUUCUGUCCCUGGGCAAGCUUGUUUUAUACAAGUCUGCAUUUUGUCUCUGUUUGCUGUCAGUGUCUCUCGUGUGUGUGGGGGCUCAGGAGCUGGCUCUGUCAGUGAAGUGCUUACAGUUCUGUCCGCUCGCUUUGCAGUUCUGAGGGUCUGAGUUUAGGUUCCCGACCCAUGUAUAAAGCCUGGUGCAUAGCACAGCAGAGGUGUGAAUGAGAGACUGAGGAUUUCUGGAGCCUGCUGUUAGCUUCCAUAGUUUACUCGGGAGAUGUUCUAGGCCAGAGAGAGACCCAGGCUCAGACAAGUGAAGGAAGGAAGGUGUCUGAGGAGUGACCCUUGAUGACUUUUUCUGACAUCCAUGUAUGUGGAUACCCUACAUACAUGCACACAAAGU
rnacentral:lncRNA from 1 species